UGGGGAAUUUUGGACAAUGGGCGAAAGCCUGAUCCAGCAAUGCCGCGUGUGUGAAGAAGGCCUUCGGGUUGUAAAGCACUUUUGUCCGGAAAGAAAUCCUUGGCUCUAAUACAGUCGGGGGGAUGACGGUACCGGAAGAAUAAGCACCGGCUAACUACGUGCCAGCAGCCGCGGUAAUACGUAGGGUGCAAGCGUUAAUCGGAAUUACUGGGCGUAAAGCGUGCGCAGGCGGUUUGCUAAGACCGAUGUGAAAUCCCCGGGCUCAACCUGGGAACUGCAUUGGUGACUGGCAGGCUAGAGUAUGGCAGGAGGGGGGUAGAAUUCCACGUGUAGCAAGUGAAAUGCGUAGAGAUGUGGAGGAAUACCGAUGGCGAAGGCAGCCCCCUGGGCCAAUACUGACGCUCAUGCACGAAAGCGUGGGGAGCAAAACAGGAUUAGAUACCCCUGGUAGUCCACGCCCUAAAACGAUGUCAACUAGUUGUUGGGGAUUCAUUUCCUUAGUAACGUAGCUAACGCGU
rnacentral:rRNA from 1 species